rnacentral:rRNA from 1 species
UACGUAGGUGACCAGCGUUGUCCGGAUUUACUGGGCGUAAAGAGCGCGCAGGCGGUCGUUCAAGUCGAGUGUGAAAGCCCCCGGCUCAACUGGGGAGGGUCACUUGAUACUGAUCGACUCGAAGGCAGGAGAGGGAAGCGGAAUUCCCGGUGUAGUGGUGAAAUGCGUAGAUAUCGGGAGGAACACCAGUGGCGAAGGCGGCUUCCUGGCCUGUUCUUGACGCUGAGGCGCGAAAGCUAGGGGGAGCAAAACGGGAUUAGAAA